CGCAUCCUUUGCUGAGGAUACGGUUAACGGAGCGAAAGCGACGUUCAACCGCAAAACAAGCAGAGGGGGCUUAGUGGUGGGGUGACUGCGUACCUUUUGUAUAAUGGGUCAGCGACUUAUAUUCUGUAGCAAGGUUAACCGAAUAGGGGAGCCGGAGGGAAACCGAGUCUUAAUUGGGCGUUAAGUUGCAGGGUAUAGACCCGAAACCCGGUGAUCUAGCCAUGGGCAGGUUGAAGGUUGGGUAACACUAACUGGAGGACCGAACCGACUAAUGUUGAAAAAUUAGCGGAUGACCUGUGGCUGGGGGUGAAAGGCCAAUCAAACCGGGAGAUAGCUGGUUCUCCCCGAAAGCUAUUUAGGUAGCGCCUCGUGAAUUCAUCUCCGGGGGUAGAGCACUGUUUCGGCUAGGGGGCCAUCCCGGCUUACCAACCCGAUGCAAACUGCGAAUACCGGAGAAUGUUAUCACGGGAGACACACGGCGGGUGCUAACGUCCGUCGUGAAGAGGGAAACAACCCAGACCGCCAGCUAAGGUCCCAAAGUCAUGGUUAAGUGGGAAACGAUGUGGGAAGGCCCAGACAGCCAGGAUGUUGGCUUAGAAGCAGCCAUCAUUUAAAGAAAGCGUAAUAGCUCACUGGUCGAGUCGGCCUGCGCGGAAGAUGUAACGGGGCUAAACCAUGCACCGAAGCUGCGGCAGCGAACGUAUCACCCAAGACAACUUUACGGAGUUGACGAUUGACGGAGCGAAGCGACGUCAAAGCGUUCAUUAAAGUCGAGUUGGCUUAGGGAUACGUUCGUUGGGUAGGGGAGCGUUCUGUAAGC
rnacentral:rRNA from 1 species